rnacentral:rRNA from 1 species
AGCGGCGGAUGGGUGAGUAACACGUGGGGAACCUGCCCCUAAGUCUGGGAUACCAUUUGGAAACAGGUGCUAAUACCGGAUAAUAGAGCAGAUCGCAUGAUCAGCUUUUGAAAGGCGGCGUAAGCUGUCGCUAAGGGUUGGCCCCGCGGUGCAUUAGCUAGUUGGUAAGGUAACGGCUUACCAAGGCGACGAUGCAUAACCGAGUUGAGAGACUGAUCGGCCACAUUGGGACUGAGACACGGCCCAAACUCCUACGGGAAGCAGCAGUAGGGAAUCUUCCACAAUGGACGCAAGUCUGAUGGAGCAACGCCGCGUGAGUGAAGAAGGUUUUCGGAUCGUAAAGCUCUGUUGUUGGUGAAGAAGGAUAGAGGUAGUAACUGGCCUUUAUUUGACGGUAAUCAACCAGAAAGUCACGGCUAACUACGUGCCAGCAGCCGCGGUAAUACGUAGGUGGCAAGCGUUGUCCGGAUUUAUUGGGCGUAAAGCGAGCGCAGGCGGAAAAAUAAGUCUAAUGUGAAAGCCCUCGGCUUAACCGAGGAACUGCAUCGGAAACUGUUUUUCUUGAGUGCAGAAGAGGAGAGUGGAACUCCAUGUGUAGCGGUGGAAUGCGUAGAUAUAUGGAAGAACGCCAGUGGCGAAGGCGGCUCUCUGGUCUGCAACUGACGCUGAGGCUCGAAAGCAUGGGUAGCGAACAGGAUUAGAUACCCUGGUAGUCCAUGCCGUAAACGAUGAGUGCUAAGUGU